rnacentral:rRNA from 1 species
GAGUUUGAUCGUGGCUCAGAGCGAACGCUGGCGGCAGGCUUAACACAUGCAAGUCGAGCGCCCCGCAAGGGGAGCGGCAGACGGGAGAGUAACACGUGGGAACGUACCCUUCAGUUCGGAACAACCCAGGGAAACUUGGGCUAAUACCGAAUACGUCCGUAAGGAGAAAGAUUUAUCGCUGAAGGAUCGGCCCGCGUCUGAUUAGCUAGUUGGUGAGGUAACGGCUCACCAAGGCGACGAUCAGUAGCUGGUCUGAGAGGAUGAUCAGCCUCAUUGGGACUGAGACACGGCCCAAACUCCUACGGGAGGCAGCAGUGGGGAAUAUUGGACAAUGGGCGGAAGCCUGAUCCAGCAACGCCGCGUGAGGGAUGACGGCCUCGGUU